CCUACGGGGCGCAGCAGUGGGGGAUAUUGCACAAUGGGGGAAACCCUGAUGCAGCGACGCCGCGUGAGUGAAGAAGUAUUUCGGCAUGUAAAGCUCUAUCAGCAGGGAAGAAGAUGACAGUACCUGAGUAAGAAGCCCCGGCUAACUACGUGCCAGCAGCCGCGGUAAUACGUAGGGGGCAAGCGUUAUCCGGAUUUACUGGGUGUAAAGGGAGCGUAGGCGGCGAUGCAAGUCAGAAGUGAAAGCCCGGGGCUCAACUCCGGGACUGCUUUUGAAACUGUAUGGCUAGAUUGCAGGAGAGGCAA
rnacentral:rRNA from 1 species